rnacentral:rRNA from 1 species
GAUGAACGCUGGCGGCGUGCCUAAUACAUGCAAGUCGAGCGAACGGACGAGGAGCUUGCUUCUCUGACGUUAGCGGCGGACGGGUGAGUAACACGUGGAUAACCUACCUAUAAGACUGGGAUAACUUCGGGAAACCGGAGCUAAUACCGGAUAAUAUCUUGAACCGCAUGGUUCAAUAGUGAAAGACGGUCUUGCUGUCACUUAUAGAUGGAUCCGCGCUGCAUUAGCUGGUUGGUAAGGUAACGGCUUACCAAGGCAACGAUGCGUAGCCGACCUGAGAGGGUGAUCGGCGACCCUGGAGCUGGAACACGGUCCAGACUCCUGCGGGAGGCCGCAGUAGGGAAUCUUCGGCAGAGGGCGAAAACCUGGCGGAGCAACGCCGCGUGAGUGGUGGAGGUCUUCGGUGCGGAAAACUCGGUUAUUAGGGAAAAACAUAUGUGUAAGGAAAUGAGCACAUCGUGACGGUACCUAAUCAAAAAGCCACGGCUAACUACGUG